AUUGAACGCUGGCGGCAGGCCUAACACAUGCAAGUCGAACGAGUGGCGGACGGGUGAGUAAUGUCUGGGAAACUGCCUGAUGGAGGGGGAUAACUACUGGAAACGGUAGCUAAUACCGCAUACCAUCAGAUGUGCCCAGAUGGGAUUAGAGAGUGGGGGGGGUAACGGCUCACCAAGGCGACGAUCCCUAGCUGGUCUGAGAGGAUGACCGGCCACAAGGGAACUGAGACACGGUCCAGACUCCUACGGGAGUCAGCAGUGGGGAAUAUGGCACAAGGGGCGAAAGCCUGAUGCAGCAAGGCCGCGUGUAUGAAGAGGGCUUUCGGGUUGUAAAGUACUUUCAGCGGGGAGGCGUUACCCGCAGAAGAAGCACCGGCUAACUCCGUGCCAGCAGCCGCGGUAAUUC
rnacentral:rRNA from 1 species